UCCGACCAGAUUAUUCAUUCACUCGUUAGUUUAAGUGUGAGGCCGCCGCGGGUGGCGGCGCAUGCAAGGCGAGCGCUCGAAUCUGUCAUUCCUGCUACUUGCCCCCGCUCGCGGCAGCCGGUGAUCACACCACCCGAAACCGCGGCCCUUGAGAUCUAAACGGCGGCGAUGAGGAAGGGCGCCGCGGUUGGCUCCGGCCCGUCCUCUGAGUGGUGGCCCGCCUCGGAUCCACACCUCCCCGGGGCCACCCCUCCCUGCCGCCGCGUGCCCGCCCGCUCCGCAUCGGCUUGGAGGCCCUAAUGGCAGCCAGCGGUGCUGCGGCGGUUAAGGCGGCGGGGGUUGGGGUUGGGGACCGUGGGGCGGGGUCCGCAGCGGGUUCCGGUCGUGGGCGUAGUCGGGCAACGCGGGAUCUGAGCCGCCAUUGAUGGACUUUUUCAUCGUUUGGUUGCGAUUUUUUCGAUUUGGUACGCUCGCAGUCUCCUCCUCCUCGGCUCCUCGUCGUCUUCAUCUUCCUCCUCCUCCUCUCUCUCUCUCUCUCUCUCUCUCUCUCUCUCUCUCUCUCUCUCUCUCUCUCUCGAUUGUGUAUGCUUGUGUGUAUGUACGCAUGCAUGAUCCAUUUGUUCACACCCCAGACUCCCUGAACCCAAACCCUAGACCGAAUAGAGGCUUGUGCGGGGACCAUUCACCGGAGCGGCCGUCGCGAUAGGACUCCACCUCUACGGUGCUGCUUCUCCGCCGUUCCAUUUACCUUGGCAUCGGUGGCGGCAGGGGCUGGGAACCGUACGGUGGCGUCUGCCGCGGCUUCCGAGUCGAGGGUUUGGUCGGCCGCAGUGCCUUGUUUCGCUACUCCUGAUGGAUGGAUUGAUGGAUUAUGGAUGGAUAUGUGAGCCAUUCCUGCUACUUGCGCCUGCCGCGGCAGCCAGUGAUCACACCACCCGAACCCGCGGCCCUUGGGAACUAAACGGCGGCGAUGAGGAAGGGCGCCGCGGUUGGCUCUGGCCCGUCCUCCGAGUGGCGGCCCGCCUCGGAUCCAUGCCUCCCCGGGGCCACCCCUCCCUCCCGCCUCGUGCCCCGCCGCUACGCAUCGGCUUGGAGGCCCUAAUGGCAGUCGGCAGUGCUGCGGCGGUUAAAGGUGGCAGGGGUUGGGGUUGGGGACCGUGGGGCGGGGUCCGCGGCGGGUUCCAGUCGGGGGCGUGGUUGGGCAACGCGGGAUCUGAGCCGCCAUUGAUGGACUUUUUCACCGUUUGGUUGCGAUUUUUUUGAUUUGGUACGCUGCAGUCUCCUCCUCCUCCUCCUCUCUCUCUCUCUCUCUCAACCCCUCCCUCUCAAUUGUGUAUGCUUGUGUGUAUGUAUGCAUGCAUGAUCCAUUUGUGGGAUGUUCACACCCCAGAUUCCCUGAACCCAAACCCCAGACCGAAUUGAGGCUUGUGCGCGGACCAUUCACUGGAGUAUCCGUCGUGUUAGGCCUCCGCUUCUACGGUGCCGCUUCUCCGCCGUUCCAUUUACCUUGGCAUUGGUGGCGGCAGGGGCUGGGAACCGUAUGGUGGUGUCUGACGCGGCUUCCGAGUUGAGGGUUUGGUCGGCCGCGGUGCCUUGUUUCGCUACUCCUGAUGGAUGGAUUAUGGAUGGACAUAUGAGCCACGAUGCCAUGAUUCUCUACUCCUGUCAUGACAACAGCAGCUGCAGCAGCAGCAGGUGAUCUCCUUCCCUUGCUGUUGCCUGUGUGCUGUGCAGUGCUGCACUCUGCUCUGCUCUGAACCUUUGACCUCUGAAUGUUCCUACUUCCUAGCCUCCCUGCUGCUCACCCUCUCUAACUUCGUGGCAGUUGGAGGGGCAGUCGGAAUGGGAUUGGGAUAUGAGAUGAGAUGAGAUGCAAAGAGGUGGUUUUCUGACUUGGGUGGAAGUACCCAGUGUAAGUGAUAAUGGGAAAUUUACUCAGGGCGGCCAUUUCUGACAUGUAAACGGACCUGGAACUGUUUUUCGGAAUAAAGGCAUGAAGUGCUGACAAGGGGCAACGAUGAUCAGCCUUUUCUGAAGAGCAUGCCAUCGAGUAAUUGAGGCAGCUGUGGGUAUCUAAUUUGAGCUGACCUUCUCCUCUUGGAGCCUAUUUGAUCAUUCCUUAGUGUUUGUGGUUCUGUGCCUAGAGCGGUCAUUCAGGCACGUGAUAAGCAGCGCAGUUCCACUUACACUAGGAUGAGUAAAUUGUGCGGCAAGAGAUGUGAGGGCUUGGUUUGUAUGAUCGAGCAAAGGUGAAGCCGAGCCCUCUUAACGCUAUUUCAAUACUUGCUGUACAUUUCACAUUGUUUUUUUUCUCGUCUUGUCUUUGAAAUUAGUGUCAGCUUCAUAUUUUUCCAAUGUCGAAAAAUUGCCUCAUGCUAAAGUUAGAACUCGACAUUAGGGCCUGCUCUACCAUGCACUUGCAUGGAUGCUCGUUCCGGGCGGCAGCGGCAGCAGCAGCAGCAGCAGAAGAAUGAUUCCCUUAUUCUAAGGAUUGGUUUUGUUCUUAAUCAAAUCCAAAUCUUUCUUCCACCCAUUCAGUUGUUGAUUUUGAGUGCUGCAUGGUGCCUUGCUAAUUAAAUCCAUCAAUGCAAGCAAGCUAAGAAAAAACCAAGCUACAUCUGGAUGGAUCUGAACUCCUAAUGGUGACCCCUUGGAUCUGCGCUUCUUAGGGCCAUCCUUUCUACUGCUUCUCGUCGGCUUUUAGGCACUUGAGCAGCCGUUGGUGUUUGCGGUGGUGGAGGAUUGGGAACCUUGGGGUGGGUUUGCAGUGGCUUCCGGUUGGGGUUUGCUUGGGCAGUACAAGAUCUGGGCAGUCAUUGAUGGAUUUUUUGUCAUGGUCAUGAUUUUAUAGCCUCCUUCCUCCCUUGCUUGCUUCUCUCACCUCUCUCUCUCUCUCUCUCUCUCUCUCUCUCUCUCUCUCUCUCUCUCGUGCACACUCGUCUUUCACUUGUGCUGGCUCUCUUGUCUGUUUAUGUGUUUAUGUAUGCAUGCAUGUGCCAAUUGUCACAAGAACUCGAGGCUGCUGUCUGAUGUGUAAAUGGACCUGGACCUAUAUAUAGGAAUGGAGCGCUGAUGAGGGGCAAUGAUGAUCAGCCUUUUUUGAAGGGCAUGCCUUUGAGCAAUUCAGGUAGCUGUGAACAUCAAUUUUGACCUGGAUCCUCUCUUGGAGCCUAUAUGAUAAUUCCUUGUUGGUGGUUUUGUGCUUAGGAUGGUCAUUCAGAUGAGUGAUAACCAGCUCAACUCCACUUACAUCAGCCUAUAUAUAGGAAUGGAACGCUGAUGAGGGGCAAUGAUGAUCAACCUUUUCUGGAGGGCAUGCCUUUUAGCAAUCGAGGUAGCUAUGGAUAUCAAAUUUGACCUGGCUCCUCUCUUGGAGCCUAUGUGAUCAUUCCUUGUUGGUGGUUCUGUGCCUAGGAUGGUCAUUUAGAUGAGUGAUAACCAGCACAACUCCACUUACAUCAGGGUGCUAUGCAGCAAGAAAUGUUAGGGAUGGGUUCCAAUGAUUGAGCAAAGGCGAAUCUAACCCCUCUUUAUGGCUACUUCACCUUUAAUGGUUCUAUCAUUGUGGUGUUCAUUGUCUCUCUUCUACAUUCAUGUUUGAAGCCAUUGUUUAACUUUAUACACAAAUGAUUAAUUUUUGAUGUGAGAAAACUAGCUACAUGUUGCAUCCAGAUCACCACUCAGGGGCUGCCUUGACCAUGCACUUGUUGCUGGUUGGAUGCUCUUCCCAGGCAGAGGUUGCAGUGGCAGGGGCUGGGAACUGUAGGGUGGUGUUGUCUGGUGCAGCUCCCAAAUUUAGGGUUUGUUCAUCCGAGGUGAUAUGUGAGCUUUUCUCUUUUUUAGUGAUGGAUGGCUAUUUUGGUCCAAUUUUUGAUUGGUUUAUUUUGCCAUGGGCUCUACUUGUCCCCUGGCUACUAAUGUUGUGCUGAACUUACCCCUCACCCAGCUUCACGAAUUCAUGGGGCUAGAGAUACCUAGCUCUAAUCAUUGGAGCUGGAGCUCUCCCUAAAAGGUCUGAAGUGCUAAUGUGGGGCAAUGAUGAUCAACCUUUUUUGAGAGCGCCUUUGAGCAAUCUUGGAGUUGGAGCUCUCCCAAACAGGUCCGAAGUGCCAAUGUGGGGCAAUGAUGAUCAGCCUUUUCUGGGACCAUGCCUUUGAGCACAAUUGAGGCAGGUGUGGGGUAUCAAAUUUGAGCUGGUCCUUUCCUCUCUUGGAGCCUAUGCUACCAUUCCUUGGUGGUUCUGUGCCUAGGACGGUCACUCAGACGAGUGGUAACCAGCGAGCUCCACUGACAUCAGGAUGAGUAGCUUGUGGUGCUAGAGAUGUUAGGGUUGGGUUUAUAUGAUUGAGUAAAGGCGAAGCUGAGCCCUCUUGAUGCUAUUUCACUUUUGAUGGUGCUGUCAUGACGGUUGGUUCAGAUUUUGUUCUACUUGUUAUGGAAGAAACAGCGGUGUGCAUGGGGAGGUCACGGAGGGUGUGGUGCCUGUAAGCAUCAAUCCAUGAAGCUAACAUGUUUGUGUUACCUUGAUUACUGCUAUGCUGUUACCUUGUUUCUGCUAAGAUGCGGAGGUUGCUGAAAUCAGUUAAAUGUUGGCCCAACAAAUGCUGUUGUUGGGCUUCGGUCGGCUGAAGAAACAGAGCCUUGGAGCAAACCACUCGCAUCUCGAAAAAAAAAAUGGAAGAAAGGAAAUAGGAGGCAAUCUGAGGUAACACGUGAGGGCUGCCCUACGCACGCCAACAUCCUUCCCCUUAUGGUUCUUGCUUAAAACCCUCUACAUGCCGAACCAGCCGUGGUGGUCGAUUACUGUGGGAGAUCGAACUCGGGACCUCUCUGGGGACUUGGGAUGGCGGGCGAUGAGGAAUGGCGCCAUUGGCGCCGGCGCGGGCCAAUCACUUCCUUGGUGCCACCCCUGACCCGACGUGACGCAUCGGCCAGGAGGCCCUCCCCUGGGCAGCUGUCCGUGGUGGUGUUAGUGGUGGAAGCGGUUGGUCUCACCCGUCUGGUUCCCAUUCCCAUGUUUUGUUGUCCAUCCUUUCCCAACCAUGCAGGCUUGUGCUGCAACGGCCUUCGAGCCGGCGGAACACGCCUAGAUCUAGAUCCAGGAUCUUCUUCAGGAGGGCAAGCAGUCUCAGUUGACACCAGAGAACUUGGUACCAAGCAAUAAUGAAUGACGGACUUGGCUUUGGCCUGUUCCCUGAGAGGCAGCUUCCUCUCAUUGGGGCCACCCCCUCAGCUGCGUCGCGACACAAUGGCUUGGACGCUCACUUGAGCAGCCGCUGAUGGGUCAGUGGUAGCAGCAAGGAGUGGGAACUGUGGUUUAAGGGGUUUGUUCAGGAUAUGCCAUAUGCAGUUUCCUGUGGAACUCAUAUGGGGUAAAUUUGUGUUCCAAACAGGCGCUAAACUGCCUCUUCCUCCAGUCUCCUCUCGUCUCUUUCUGUGGUCAUACGAUAUGCUUGUAUCAUUUCACCUGUCUUGGUGUGCAUUUCUUUGGUUUAGUACAGGUGUCUUUUCUGGUGUUUUUUUACACACAACAGAAGGUAUUUACCAAACGUAUGGCGCCUUAUGAUCUUUCCUUUCUGUUCUGUACUGUUCUGGAGUGGCUGUGAUGAUUUGACUUCCCCUGAGCUUCUGCAUUUUAGCAACUUCUGAACUGGUACCUUGGAUAUUUUGUUCUAUUUGCUGCUUAACUAGGAUGGCUUGUACCAUAUCAAGUAACCAGUUUUGCAGUCAAUUGUUGCUGCUGUUGCCCUUGCUGCUCCUACCGCUGCUGGUGGUGACAGGUGGCAGUCGCAUUGCGUAUUUGAAUGAACAAUGCCAUUUAAAAGUUCAUUUUGAGAGAGAGAAAGAGAGAGAUACAUGGUGCUUCCACCAUAAAUUGCAGUUGUGUUGAUAAUGGGGAAAAUCUGAGCCAUUCAAGUGACAUUUUGUUUCUUUGAAAAGGUCUGAAUAUCCCCUGAAUUUUGGGAGUCCGUUUGUAAAUAGCCUUCCAAACAGUGCUGAACCUUCUAAAUAAUCACCUAGAGCAGUUUUGAAGGCUCUUUAGCCACUGUAGCAACUGAUGUGGAUAGCUGAUGUGCUCUUUUCUUUGCUUGUUUCAAACUUCAAUCAUGAUUCUUUUUUUUCUCUCUUUUGCGCUCUUAUCUACUUAUUCCUUUAUCCUCUUUGGCAUGAUCUCUUUCUGUUGGUGAUCUACCAAUCGAUGAUUCUUGUUGGUUGUUGUGUUGCCGACCAUGAUCUCUAGGGUUGUUCUUCACUCCCCUUCCUGCCAGGAUUCAAACCUGGGACCUGGGUCAAUGGUGCAAGCUAAGUCAGUGCCACCUCACUAGUUCCUGUCUCAAUUCCCAAAAACCCUAUGAGGGGGGGGGGGGGGGGCGAUGAUCAACAACCAUGGCUGACAAGUACCUUUGAGCAAUCGAGGCUGCUGUGGAUAUCAAAUUAGAACCCUCCCUGUUCUCUCUUGCAACCUUUUCAAUUAUGCGCUGAUGAUGGUGGUUCUGUCCUUGGAUGGUCAUGCCACUCUUGAUGGGUGAUAACCAGGGCAGCUCUACUAAAACCAGAACAGUUUGAACUGGUGAUGAGAGAUGGCAGUUGUAUGAUCGAGCAAAGGCGAAGCUGAGCCCACUGAGAUGCAUAUUUACUGCUCCCUACAUAAAUAUUUUAUGUUGUUUUCCUUCUUCUGUAGUUGAAUUUGUUUUUGCUUCGUGCUUUUUAUCUUCUUUGCUUUUGUAUCCCACCCCUUCUGUCACUAAUUUUCUAACUUCUUUGCUUGUUGUAUUUUUUCUAACUCCUUGUGUUGUUUGUUGGCAAGCUUGGACUGUUUCCUUUGCUGGAACUGUCCCCGUUUUUUACACUAUAAUUAUUUGCAAUAACUUAUCGCAAUAGUAAUGUUUAGUCUGCUUCACUAAAGAUACCUUCAGUCAACUUUGUUCAUCUCAAAAUUUCAUGCAAUAAUUUCUUGAAUAAGCAUGUUUACGCACUGUACUCCUGUUGGAACUGGGUGCAUAUGGAGGCACAUAAAAUGUUUUUUUGGAAAUUGCUCUCUUCGAGCCAUCACAACUAUUAUGCUUGUGCAGUGUUGAUGAUGCAUUUUGCUAGUUCCUAUGCAUUCUUUUGGUUUUUUCAGAUUUUUUUUGCACAUUGUCUUUUGAUCUUUCUUUUUUUUACCUGUACUGUUCUUCAGUGGCUGCGAUGAUCUAACUGCCCUAUAGAGAGCUUUUGCCUUGUAGCAUCCUGAACUGGUACCUUGGGUAUUUUGUUCAAUUUGCUGCUAACCUAGGAUGGCUUGUACCAUAACAAGUAACCAGUUUUUCAACUUAUUAUUAUUGCUGUUGCUGCUGGUGGUGUUACAUAUUGGAAUGAACAAUUCUACUUAUAAUUUAAUGUUGGAAUAAAUCUUGCUGUAACAGCCACCAUUAUGUGGUGUUUUUAUUCGUUGUUAUGCUCAUUAGGGCCAUUAAGGCCACAUUAAGGCCAGGUUUAAGACUUGCCUACUUGCUGUUAUAUAAGAGGAAUAGAGCAGGAAACGCCAUGACAGUUGCAGCACAAAUUCUUCGGUGUUUCCCAAGUGUUCUCACGUGUGUUCAGAGCCUGUGUUGUCGGUCCAGGCGCUGCUAUGUCGUCGUGAGCUCCCAGGGGUGCGAUGUCAAGGACUCCUCCGUGUCAAGGCCGUCGUAGCUCACCGACACCUUUGCGUCGACCGCGUUGGUGUCGAGCGUGUCAAUGAAGCUAACACACAAGCUGCGAUGCAAGCUCGGCGAGAUUGAGUUCAACGAUGGCGAGUUCAUCAAUGACUUAGCCAUGAGGAUUACGAACCUCACCAACAACCUCCGAGUACUGGAGGAUGAAGUCACUAAUGUUGAGGUGGUGUGAAAAUUUUUGCAGGCUGUCCCAUUACGUCUCUAGUAGGUCACCAUCUCCAUCAAAACCCUCGAUCUGAGCACAUUCUCGAUUGAGGAGAUGACGGUCGCUUGCGCACGAUGGAGCAGAUGUACAAGCUCGGCUCUUUAGGCGACAAUGGUGGGUAGAAGCUACUCAUUGAGGAGUGGCUAGCUCGCAUGAAGCAUGAUGGCGAGGGAGGAUCCAGUAGCGGCGGCGAUGGCGGCUCCCAUCGUCGUGAUGGCAAAAACCAUAGGCGCGGUCACGGCAACGAGCUGCACGACCGCAACGCCAACACGUUUGGCCAUCGAGGUGGCCAGGACCAAUGUCGGAACUGUGGCAAAUUCAGCCGUUGGGCGAAGGAUUGCCGCAGCAAGUCGAAGCGGGCCGAGGCCCACUUGACAUAGGGCGAUGACGACGAGCCCACGCUUUUGAUGGCUAAGGGUACCCUAUCCACUAGCAACUUGUUGUGAUAGCAUCCCCUCUGUUGCGGCAUAACCCUCUCUGGCUGGUCGAGGUGAAAGGAUUUGCACAAGUGGAUCGAGAGGACCCCAACGGUCGGCUAUGGUACCUCGACAUAGGCGCCACAAACCACAUGAUUGGGUCGCACGCCUCCUUUGAGAUCGACUGGAAUCCAGGGCACUGUCGUUUGACAUUGAGUUGCGCAGCAUGAUCCUGUUCACCUGCAAGACCGACGAGCACCGCAUGCUCACGGGGGGUGUAUUUUAUUCCCCAACUCACCACCAUCAUCAUCAUCAUCAACCAGCUUGACAAGAACGGUUGCCAUGUGCUGGUUGACGACGUCGUCCUGAGGAUUUGAGACUCGGAUCGAUGGCUGCUGGCGAGGGUGAGGCGCUCCCUUAGCUGGCUCUACAUGCUCAACCUUGACAUUGCGUGAUUAGUGUAUGUCGGCAAGAGGCUCAGAGGAGGCAUGACGCUGGCACGCGAGCUACGGGCACCUCUGCUUCAAGUCCCUGCGCAAGCUCUCCAAGCAGGCCAUGGUGCGAAGGCUGCCACAGAUUGAUCAUGUUGAUCAACCUUGCGACGACUGCUUCGUUGGGAAGCAAAGGUGAACAUUAAGGAUGAAAACAGACGGGAAUAGUCGGGAAAACCCCCUAACCAUUUUCAUUUUCACAUUUUCUAUUGAAAACGAAAUAAAAAGCGAGAAAGCCGGAAACAUGUACGAACUCGGGAAUAUCGGGAUAUUGAGAUUGAACCAAUCCGAAUGGAAACACGUCGGUAUCGGUCGGGAACCGAUAAUUCAAAUCAGGAACAUCGACCCGUAGAACCAUGACUUUAAGCAUUGACACGAUACAUAAUUAAUAAUUCAUACCAUAUAUAGAUGGACUACAUAAUGAAAUAAGUCAAUUGAAAAAUAGCCAUCAUAUCGUAACUCGAGUAUUUGACACAACACACAAUCACACAACGACUAGAGUUGGAGGCGAUGCAAGAGCUUGAACGACAUUGGCAAGUCGGCAGCCAACUAAGACUGGGCCAUUGAGGUCUAGGUGAAGUUUAGGAUAUGGGUGAUGUUUGGGCUAGCUGUCUGAGCUUGGCCUAUGGGCUAUAUCGUGAUUUGUGAAGUUAAAUCUCAAUUGGAAAAACGGGAAUCCCAAUGGGAAAUUCUUGAUUACAAACGGGACACCGAUAAUACGAUCUGGAAAACAAAAAAAUCAUUUUCAUCUCUUUUCCGUGUAAGUUUUGAAAAUUUGAAAACGGAUCGGAAUGAGACGAGAUUUACCCUGUCCAUUUUCAUCCCUAGCGAGCAUCCUUCCCAAGCUGGUGACUAAUCGCGCAGUGCACAUCCUUGACCUUGUGCACGGCGACAUAUGUGGGCCCAUCGCACCCACGACGUCGAGUGGGAACCGUUAUUUCCUCCUGCUCGUGGACGACAUGGGCCAUUACGUGUGGCUCAGUCCUCUCACAAGGACCAAGGGUCGACAGCGAUCGAACGAUUCCAAGCGACGGUGGAGGUGGAGACAGCGCGACGUGUAGUGAUAGCUCACGGCUCCCUAUUUCCGGAACAAAACGUUGUUGUUGAGCGUCGCAAUCAGAUAAUGGUCGCCAUGGCGCAAAGCAUGCUGAAGGCAAAUGGCCUCCCUGGAGCGUUCAGGGGUGGGGCUGUCUCCACGGUCGUCGUCAUCCUCAAUCGUGCGCUGACUCGGAGCAUAUACAGGAAGACGCCAUACAAGGCCUAGCAUGGUGAGCGACAGGCUAUACACUUCCUCUGCACAUUUGGUUACGUCGUGCAUAGAAGCCUGACGAUCGCAACACUUAGAUGAUCUUUGUCGGCUACAAGAGCAGGUCCGAUGCGUACUAGGUGUACGACCCCAUUAGCAAGCGCGUGCAUGUGACGCGGGUCGUAUUUGACGAAUCAACGUGGUGGAAAUGGAGCUUAAAGGAGUACGAGGUGAACGGCGACAACCCUUUUACAGUGGGUACCUGGUCACCAGGGAGCCAGUGUGCGACACGCAUGUGGGCUCCCUGGACCAUGGCCGAACAUCUUCGCCAGCGACACUUGUGUUGCGGCGGAUCGAACUCAAGUCCAUGCACGACUCCAGGCUUGAUGCGUCUGCUGAAGAAGAUGAUCCCCAAUGCUACAGCACCAUCGACAACAUCCUCGGUUCGACAACACCAUAAGAGUUCGCACCGUGCCAACUCGACCUCAACGAGCUUCAUAUGGUGUGUUAAGGAACCAAGCACCCUCGCUGAAGUAGAAUAGUGUGCUGGCGAAACGCGAUGCAGGAGUAGAUGGACUCCAUUACUGACAACAGGACCUGGAGCCUUGUCGAUCUCCUUGCAAGUCAUCGUGUGAUCGACUUGGAGUACAUGGUAAAACGCGACGAACAUGUUGACAUUGUGAAGCACAAGGCGCUCUUGGUCGCAAAGGACUACGUCCAACAACACGGGUGGACUUCGAUGAGGUCUUUGCCCCUAUCACCCGACUAAAGACCAUGCGGCUUUUAGUCACCUUGGUCGCGCACCAAUCCUUAGAGGUUCACCAUAUGGAUGUCAAGUCAACAUUCUUGAAUGGUGAUCUCCGGAAGGUGUAUGUUGUGCAGUUGCUUGGCAUCAUCGAGAACAAGCACAAGUACAAUGUGUUGCGUCUCCACAAGGCGCUCCACGGUUUCCGCCAAGCACUAUGUGCCUGCAACGAGAAGUUGGACGCCACUCUGCUCCGAACACGGAGUGUACACGCGAGGUGAAGGCGAGAAUUGGUUGGUCAUGGGCAUCUACGUCAACGACUUAAUCAUCAUCGAUGACAACACUAGCGGCAUCAAUGAGUUCAAGUAGGAGAUGAACCUAUUCUGGAUGAGUGAUUUGGUAGCGCUUAGGUACUACCUCGACAUCAAGGUGCACCAAAAACUUGGACGGUAUCAAGCUGGGGCAAUCUGCCUACGUGUUGAAGAUUCUAUAGAAGGUUGGGCUAGCAGAUUGCAACCCUUGCUAGACUCCAAUGGAGGUACACCUCGAGCUCAGCAAGUCAAGCUCUCCCCUUCGGUCGAUGCUACUCUCUACCAGAGUCUGGUCAUUGCAAGAUCCUACAAACAACAAGAGACAGGCUCGAGUGAUAUGGCAUCUAGGGAUGAAAAUGGCCAAGAACGGUCGGGAAAACCUCUAACCGUUUUCAUUUGCACCUUUUCUCUCGAAAACAGAAUAAAAAACAGAAAAGCCGAAAACGGGUAUGAACUCGGGAAUGUCGAGAUAUAAAAAAACGAAUCAAUUCGAUCGGAAACACACUAGUAUUGGUUGGGAAUUGAUAAGUCAAAUAGGAAACACCGACCCGUAGAAUCAUGACUCCAAGCUUGAUGUGACAUGUAAUUAAUUCAUACUAAUAAAAAUAAUUCAUACCAUACAAAGAUAAAUAACGUAAUGACAUAAGUCUCAAAUGGAAAACAAUCACCAUGUUGUAACUCGAGUACAUGACAAAACAUACAGACACACAGACUAGGGUUGGAGAUGGCAUAGGUGGAAGAGUUUGAACGACAUCGGUAAGUUGGCAAUUGACUAAGACUGGGCUACUGGAAUCUGGGUGAAGUUUGGGAUAGGGGUGAUAUUUGGGCGGGUUUGCUGGGCUUGGUCUACGGGCUAUAUUAUGAUUUGUGAAGUUUAGUUUUAAUUGGAAAAACAGGAAAUUCUGGAUUAAAAACGGGAUAUUGACAAUACGGUUGGGAAAACAAUAAAACCGUUUUCAUCCUAUUUUCGUGUAAGUCCUGAAAAUGGUCCAAAAAAUGUAGAAAAUGGAUUGAAACGAGAUGGGAUUUAUCCCGUCUGUUUUCAUCCCUAAUGGCAUCCAUGAUUAGUGAUGUGAUCUGAUCGGCGGACAAAAGUUGCAUCGUGAGUUUAGGAACAUGAGACAAUAGGAACAUAAAAGGUGGAAGUACAAAGAGUGCACUGUCCUGCAAUAGGAAGGGGUGUGUCAUCUAAUGUUUGGACCAUGAGUGGUGAAGUGGGAGACGACACAAAAGAUAAAUGAGUCGAAUUCGGAGUCAUAUGGAAGGACGCACUAGAAUCGAGGAAUCAUGUGGAUGAUAUACCUGGGUGGGAAAAAGGAGGUGUGGAACUAGAAGCUUGAGCAGCUCGGUUGCUAAGGUAGAAGCUGCAAUAGUGAGGUGACGGAAUAGGGCGAGGACCUCCUGCUCUGUGGUAGACAUAGAACGAGAGUUCGCUGAUAAGAACCACCACCAAAGCUCUAAGACCAUCCCCUGCGACAUGCCUUUUAUGCUUUCUCGCUACUUCGUGAAGCACACAUGAGCUGUGACUUGGCUUAUCAUAGGAGUCAUGAACGGCACCAGUAGGGGCCCCAAGCCACCACCUGGGAGGGCUGUGGUGUCAUAGGAGGUUAAGGCACCUUGGGGUGGUGUGGGCGCCGAAGAAGGGACUUGUGCAGAGGUGGAUUGUCGAACCUAGCUCACAGUCAUUACUCGAAGACACAUCUCCUUAGCCCACAACUCAUGCAUCACCUCAUCAAGCAAUGGGCGUAGGCGCCCCAUGUCAGCAGCUGAGAUAUGACAGUCUGCAACUUAGGGCCGAGCCGAGAGACGAAUAUGUGAGGACAAAUUCUCCCAAACCCUGGUGAUGGUCACAACAGCUGUAAGUGCUAGCAACACAGAUCUUCGCUCCUAAGCUGUCUAGACGUUGCUAAACUGUGGACAUUUGACUGUAGAACUCCACAUUGGAGUCCAGCUGGUGAAGCAACUGGGCCGCCUCCAUAAUAGCAAGGUAAAGGUUGCCUUGUUGCGAAUAGCAUAACUGUGGCAGAGGCGAACCCACAUCAGCUGCGUAGUGGUGAGGCCCUUAAGGGACAUUGAGCGGUCGACCUCUAUGCUUGCAAACAAGAUGGUCUUGGCACAGGUCUCCUCGCAUAGCGAGGUCUCGUAGGCGACGAGAUAGGACUGGUGAGUCUCCAUCUCGGCCUCGAAAGCGUCAAGAAGAGCAGUAUCGAUAUCAUCAGCUGCGUUCGUUGGGUAAGUUAUUGGAAUCAGAAGAGUGAGACAAGAUGGACGUGCCCGCUUGCCGUGAGGUAGCCCUAUAGCUACUAACCACCAAUGUGGAUCUCCAUAUGCAUCGCAGACUUUCCCCAGUUAGUGCCAUUGAAUAUCACCAGACACUACGGAACUGGAAUAGCUCCCGGUCUCUUAAAGGAUGCUAACUACUAGCAAGAAUAGGAACGCGCUGCUUUUUUUGUACACGACGCACAAGGUAGAGCGGCUACUUUAGUUGCUCCCUACGAGAGGCAGUUGUCGUGCUCAGUGGAGGGGAGUGGGCAAUGCUAGUGGUGGAGUAGGCUGUAGCAAAGGAGCGACGAAGAACGCAUGAGGCAACGACCAGGGCCAAGGAGCAGGUGGUGGCGGCUAGCAGGUAGCUGCAGCCAAUAGAUCCAACGAGCGAUCGGGUGGCCGUGUGAGCUCAACGUGAGGGAGGCGGAGCUCGGCUUAGGGCUGGCCGCCUGAGCAGAUCCAUGAUGCGCCAGAUUGAGUAGAUCCAUGCAGUGGUGGGCCCGGUUAUGAUGUUACCCGAGCUAGAGCAGCCUGGAUUGAAGUCCUUGUAGUCCCUGUUGGAGACUACAGACUCGAAAGCGCUUGGAAGGAGCAGCUUGACUUGAUUUCAAGCUGGACAAGCUGUGGAAGUGGAGGGAGAAGAAGGGAAAAGGGGAGAUGGAGGUGCAGUUGCGGCCUACAGUGGCGGCUCACCGGCGACAGCAAGAUGGGGAUCGAGAGCCAUGAGCCCCUAAUACCAUGUUAGAACCGUGCAACUAAUCUAUUCCAUAUCCCGAAAGGGCAGAUAUACAAGAGUAUGAGUGUAUGUCGGAGGGUGAACUCCUCAAGUAGGGAUCCGGAGGGACCUCCUUUGAGAUUGGACCGGGGGAUGAUUCUGAAUCUGUUUUGCGGGUGAAAUAAAUGGGCGUAAAUGCGAUGCAGGUGGGAUGGAAGGAUCGGAUGCAGAAGUAGUAAAUGCACUGGAAGUUUUUAGACAGGUUUAGGCCGCACUGAGCGUAACACCCUACUCCUGUGUGUGCUAUAAAUGCUCUGAGAAUGUCUCUUUCAGAGAUGUUGGUGGUUACAAGAAUAUUUGUUUAGCCUAGAGCUUCGGGCUCCUUGUUCUUCGAUGAUCUCAGCUUCUGUGCUUGUACUAAGACUCUGUCUUCUCCCUCGGCUUCCUGUCCUCAACCUUCUCCUUGUCUGUCUCUCUCACUCUUACUUCUGUGUCAACCAGCCCCUUUCAACGAGGAGCUCGCUCCGCCUUAAAUACCCGCCGGGGCGGUAGCGUGCCUAGAAAGGGAGGGCGUGAGUUUCGAGGCGCCAUAAAUGGAAAGCAACCAUCAUGGGCUGCUGCGCGAAGUGACGGGGAGGGUUGAAAACGCGCCCCCGUCUGGUCUUGUUUGUUAUCAUGCCGUUCUGCAACAGGCGCCGCGGAGAGGGCCCACCGGGCAGCCACUAAACGGCCCGGCGUGCCCGCUCGGUCUUGUAUACUUGACACAGUAGGGUGGCAGGCGGGGCGUCUUGGGCUUCGCGAUGCUAUCCCGAGGCGCGCCGGAUGUCCUGCGAUGGGACCCGUGCAUUAAAUGUCCCCACGCCUUCAUACCAGGCAGUGGCAGGAGCAGUUGGAAGUGGCAGGCCACGCGCCCUCUUAAAUGCGGCAUCGGACCUUUCACUAGUUGACACCUCACCGCUGGACCUCUGUGGGGGCUACCGGCAAAGGACUUCUUAGGCCGUCAGGGAAAUCGAGUGCUCGGGGGUCACUGUUCACAGCCUCAAGCACUCUCUCUCGGAUAUGCCCUUUCUCGGUCCUCCGGGAACCGAAUGCUCCGGGGCCACUGUUCAUGGGCCGCAGGCCGGCUGUGGGGCUGCCGCAGGCAGCAGCCAUCAGGCCGGCGGGAGAGGUGCCGCCGGCAGCGGAGCGACGGUCCCGGGGGACAAAGGAAAGCGCCCUCGGGUGUUCGUGCCUCAACCGUCGCCCCUCCUCGUCGCCGUCGCUUCCCCGGCAGCGGCUGUCGGCGGGCGGCGCGAAGGAGGGAGGCAAGGUCCAGGGCGCGGGUGCCCGAAGACCAAGGUCAGGCCGGCGGCGCCACAGCAGGCGCCCGGGCCGACCCGCUGCCGAAGACGGGCUCCACGGCGGCCCCUCAACGGCCCUAGGGACAAAGCCCCCCGCCGAAGAGGAGGAAGGCGGACUCUGGGCCGAAGCUGCAGGGCCCGGAGUUUAAGAUUCCAGAGUCCCGGUGGCAGUACCGCGGACCAAAAUCGGCGUGAGUCUUCUUCUUCUCCCGAGCGCGUUUUGCCCGAAUGUAAGUUAGGGGACUAACCUUUCUCUGUUUUCAGGCCGCCCAAGGACCACGCCGGAGACCAAAGACGACCAGAGGCGCCAAAGCCGGCUCCCGCCCCCGAGCUGAGCGCGCCCGCGGACACAGAGUCGCAGGCGCCGCCCUGCCCUGAUACGAAAGCAGCGGCCGCGCCCGAGCAGCCGGCGCCGGUCGAGCUCGCCCCAAGGGCAGAGCAGGUCGCGCCGAGGUGGCCGUCAUUGGGGACCACGAGCGCCUUUGCGGAGAGGGCUCGCAGGGGACCCAGUGCCCGUCCGUCGUCCAGCCAAGCACCAGAACCCCUCCCGGACGUACUUGGAAGCGCCCGGGAGGUGAUCGAGCGGCUGGAGCCCUUGUCGAGGAGAGGGGCGCCUAGAAGAAGUCGGUCGGCUCCUGAAGUCCCGCGUCGCCUCGGCCCGCGCGACCAUGAAAGGGUAAUGCGUGCGGUGGCUGGGGAACAGGAGGCCCUGGAGGAGGUGCGCGAGGAGGCUGUCGCCGCGCAGGAGUAGGCAUCGCAGCGGCGGGCCGCGGAACUGCUCACUAGGGAGCGGCUAGUCCGUGCUCGGGAGGAGGCCAUCGGGUAGCGCGAGAAGUCUGCGGAGAUUGCUCGGGCAGACUUAGCCCGUCGGAACGACGAACUCGAGCGGAGUCGUGCCGAAGUCCACCGUCGGGAGGAGGUUGUGGUCCGCGAGACUGACGUCGAAAUCACGGCGACGGCUCAGGACGCCCGGGAGGAGCAUCUUGCCCUGCGAGAAGUGGAGGCUGCCACGGCGUUGGUGGCCCUAACUGCUAGGGAGGACCAUGCCGCCAAAUGGGAGGCCGAGCUGGCUGCCCGGGAGCAGGCCCUUGCUGCCCUCAGCGAGCAGGUGAAGCGGGGGUAAGCCGAAGCCCUGACGAUCAGCGGCAUCCCGACCAGCGCAGCCGAGGGGUUAAGCCUUGAGGACGAGCUCGAGACUGUCGUCGCUGAGCGAGCCAACGUGAAGUUGAUGAUGCGAGACAUCCUUCGGCAAGCACAGAGGUCCGUGAGGGUUGCCGAGCUCGGGCGAGUCGACGUGGGCGAGAAGGGGAUGGAUCAAGAGACCAUCGGCCACAUCGCCCUCGGCUUCGAGGAGAUCAGUCGGCGCCUGAAGGCUCUUCCCCGGGCCGUGCAGGAGUUGGCAUCCCGGGAGGGGCGCGCUCUGGUCCAAGCGGUGGCCGAGCACGUCCUGGCCUGCUACCGGAGCCGAGACCCCAACUUCUCGCUGGAGCCAGUCCGGCAAGGGGUGGUCAAGGCCCAAGGAGGGGCCGCCCGGGAGGCUGUCCGGAGCGUCGCCGUUGAGGUGGCGGCGUGCUUCACGCGGGAGUCGCUGUCGAUACCGAGCAGUGGCAGCAGCAGCGAAGACUCCUCGCCGCCUUCAGAGUCCGCCGACAUAGAUUAGUCUUUUGUCUUUUGUUUCUUGACUUGUAAAUAUGGGAGUGAUCCCUCCGAAUAGUUCUUUUGAAUAUAAUGGAAGUCUUUCUUUAAUAUCGCAACUUCGAUGUUUGUCUGGAUGCUUGAAGUCUUUUCGCUUUUCACUUGAUGCACCGAGGAGUACUUAGCCGGACCGAGCUCGACCUUCCUCCCCCGAGAACGAAGUCGCCCCGACCACUCAUCGUUCGAGUAGUGAGACCAAUCCGUGCGUUCAGCCCCCGAGCCCUCGCGAGUUCGCAGCGGCUAAGUCAAGAGAAAGGUAUGAACUUCCUUGCUCGGGAGAUAGGUCGAUCCAGCACGGAGCACGUCACGACCAGUGAACACUUUUCCACUUUGCGAUCACUCAAACUAGCAGAUCGAGACAUGUGUGUGCGAAAUUGCGACCAAGAGUCUCCAUGGUUUGGUCUUCGGGCUAGGACGGACGGGACCGAGCACCGACAGCCCGCCUCCAGGGUCUAGGCUCCCGACCACUCUUUGCUCAAGAAGUAGGAUUACUCAAGAACCCCAGAGGCUCGGUAGUGCCUGGGGUACUGUCAAGCUGGCCAAACACCACGACCACCAUGAAGGACUUCAGUCAGACAUCGCCAUUCGUACGGUACACCUAUCUACUGUCUGUUCUGUCGUUUCGGAAAAAGCGAGCACGUGGGCAGGGUUUUGUGCGCGAGGAGAUCAUCUCGCCGAACAGAUUAAAAUGCGAGGGUCCCGAGGAUAACUCAGGAACAAUAGAUUGCUGAGUAUGUAAUAAUGUAAAUUCGUAUGACUUUAGCCACUCACCGGACAGCUGUUAGCAUUUCAGUCGACCGAUCCAGGAGGGGUAUGCGCUCCGAGCUCGCGGUGCUCGGGAACUUGGUUCCCUUGGACGGAGCGCCCGAGCACUGGAAAGCAUGAGAGAGAGCUAGGGCCAGGCGGUCCCGACCACUCAUGCCCGAGCGGUAGGACUGCCCGAGGACCCCAUACGUUCGAGCAGCUCCCUGGGCACGGAGGCCCUUGCGGUCGAGCUGCUUUCAUUAUUGGUUGUUGAUCUGUAAGCUUUAGAAAAUAGAAAUAAAUCCUUUGUUUGGUGCGCUCUGUUAGUGCGGUACUCAUUGAAGACUACUCUCGUUUUUAACCUGAGACCUCUCGAAUACUCGGACCGGCAAAAUAUACAGACUGAGGCAUAACAAAGAGGUCCUAUGGUUCGGUGACGUCCGGGAAGGACUGACCAGAUCGAGCAUCGACAGCCCGCCCUUGGGGUCUAGGCUCCCAACCACUCUUUGCUCAAGCUGUAGGAUUACUCGAGAACCAUAGAGGCUCGGUGAUGCUCGGUGUACUGUCAUGGCACCGGACACCACAGCCUACCACAACAGACUUAGGUCAGCGGCAACUGUCUGCGCGCAUACCGAUCGGGAUUCUUUUAUCAACGGGAAAAAUGAGAGCGUGUUUUUCUCGCCCAAUCGAGCAUCUCAUCAGACAGAUUAAACAUAUGGAUUUCAGAGAGAAAAUCUGAAGUAAAAUUUGAAAUAAGAACUGGAAAAUGAGAAUGUAUGUCGGAGCGUGAACUCCUCAAGCAGGGAACCAGAGGGACCCCUUUUGAGAUUCGGCCGGUGGGAUGAUUCUGAAUCUGAAUCUGUUUUGCGGGUGAAAUAAAUGGGCGUAAAUGCGAUGCAGGUGGGAUGGAAGGAUCGGAUGUAGAAGUAGUAAAUGCACUGGAGGUUUUUAGACAGGUUCGGGCCGCACUGAGCGUAACACCUUACUCCUGUGUGUGUUAUAAAUGCUCUGAGAAUGUCUCUAAGAGAUGUUGCUGGUUACAAAAAUAUUUGUCUAGCCUAGAGUUUCGGGCUCCUUGUUCUUCGGUGAUCUCAGCUUCUGUGCUUGUACUGAGACUGUCUUUUUCCUCGGCUUCCUGUCCUCAACCUUCUCCUUGUCUUUCUCUCACUCUUACUUCUGUGUCAACCGGCCCCUUUCACCAGGGAGCCCGCCUCGCCUUAAAUACCCAUCGAGGCGGUAGCGUGCCCAGAAAGGUAGGGUGCGAGUUCCGAGGCGUCAUAAAUAGAAAGCAACCAUCAUGGGCUGCUGCGCGAAGUGACGGGGAGGGUUGAAAACACGCCCCCGACUAGUCUUGUUCGUUAUCAUGCCGUUCUGCAACGGGCGCCGCGGAGAGGGCACACCGGGCAGCCACUAAACAGCCCAGCGUGCCCGCUCGGUCUUGUACACCUAACACAGCAGGGCGGUAGGCGGGGCGCCUUGGGCUUCGCGAUGCUAUCCCGAGGCGCGUCGGAUGUCCCGCGAUGGGAUCCGUGCAUUAAAUGUCCUCACGCCUCGCUGCCUGGCAGAGACUGACACCGAGCGUGGCAGGAGCAGUUGGAAGUGACAGGCCACGUGCCCUCUUAAAUGCUGCAUCGGGCCUUUCACUGGUUGACACCUCACCGCUGGACCUCUGUGAGGGCCACCGGCGAAGGACUUAGGCUGUCGGAGAACUGAGUGCUCGGGGGUCACUGUUCACAGCCCCGAGCACUCUCUUCCGGAUAAGCCCUUUCUUGUGCUCGGGGGCCACUGUUCACGGCCCCGAGCAUUCUCUUCCGGAAUUGGCUGUUCGGGUCCUCGGGGAACCGAGUGCUCGGGGGUCACUGUUCACGGCCUCGAGCACUCUCUCCCGGAACUAACUUCCUUGGUCCUUGGGGUACUCGGGUGCUCGGGGGUCACUAUUCACGGCUCCGAGCACUCUCUUCCCGGUACUUGGUUUUUCUGGUCGUCAGAGGACUUGAGUGCCCGGGGGCCACUGUUCACAGCCCCGAGCACUCUCUUCCCGGCACUUGGUCUUCUCGGGUCAUCGGGGAACUCGGGUACUCGGGGAUCACUGUUCAUGACCCCGAGCACUCUUUUUCGGGAUUUAGUCUUCUCGCACCUCGCGAAGAUGAUCCUCGCGGGAGAGCACCACGUGGCACACUGCUGAUCUGGUCUCGGGACUCGGGACCCCUGGUUCCUGUGUCACCGACAGUGUACAUACACAAAGAAGCCCCUCUACAAAGGGGGAUCUACAAUAUACAUCUAACAACGUGAUCACAUAAACAUGCCGUAAGCAUUUGGUGUACCCAAAUGACGUGAUGUACGGAUCACUCUGCAAUGAAGAAAUAGAAUCCAGAUGAGGGGUGAUGAUGAACACCAUGGCUGAAAUAAGCGUCUUUGAGUAAUCAGGGUUGCUGUGGGUAUCAUAUUGGAACCCUCACUCUCUUUUGGAGCCUCUCCAAUCAUUCUCUGAUGUUUGUGGCUGUCCUUGGACAGUCAUUAUUGACGGAUGAUAACCAGGGCAUCCCACUAACAUGAGAAUGGGUUGAUUUGGUGAUAAAGAGAUAGUGGGUGUAGGGUUGUAUGAUAGAGCAAAGGCAAAGCUGGGCCCACCCAAAGUGAUGGUGCUGUUACGUGCACAAUGUUUUAUGUUCUUCUGAGUUGCUAUUUGAAUCUGUUUUUGAUUUGUGCCUUUUGCCUUAGCAUAUUUCGCGACUUUGCUGUGCUCAAUAGUAGUACAUCGAAUACUAGUGCUUUGGUAUAACCUAUCUUUGCUGAGCCCUCUCAAUUUGGAUUUACAGUACCAUGCAAGUUAUUUACCAUACUAUUUGCAUUCUUUCAUAUAUUUAUUGCCUCUUUUCCAAAGGAUCACGGUGCAACUCUUCGCAUCCAAAGAACCACCUAUAAUUGUGUGUAUCUGUUUUAGAGUGUAGUGAUUCCUGUAGUGAAGUGUAAAGGGUGAUGGCUAUUGGCCUUACCCUAUGUGUCUCGUUUUCAUUAAUGAAAGUUUCCUACAUGGCACUCCUAGAAGCUCAUGACCUGUCUUUGUUUGAUUAAAGUUUUUGCAAUCUUCUUUCUUUUUUCUGUGGUAACAAAUUGAUUUAUUCCUUCUCCAAUUGGGUUCUGCUUUCAAUAGUGCUCCGGCAAUGCUUAGAAUUUCGUUUUACAUAUUUCUAAGUGGUCUAGCUCACAUAUCUUUGCAUUCUGUAUGGUGUAAGAACUUCUCAAUAAUAUUGAGGAAAGUUUAGAGAUAACUGGGUACAGGCUACUGGCUUUGCAUGUGUAAUGUUUGAUCUGUCGUGACCUAGUUUAAACAUAGCGUUGUGAAAAAAGGUGCUCCGAAUGAGGACCCUUGGCCUUUUCUUGCGGCAGAUAUGUUGGGAGUUGUUGAAAAAAAGAUUUCCAUGAACUUUGUCGAUCUUUAUGUUUUCUUCAGAAGUUGAAAACUGACUGUGUAAUGAUGAAUUCCUGCUGGAACAUGAUCUGAGAGGCGUUUGUAGUUUGUUGUCUCUCAGUUGUCAUAACAUCAAUACGAGAAACAAGCUGCAUUGCACUAUGAAGAUCGAUUUAAUGACUGAUCGUUUGUUAUAUUCUUAUUUGGUUAAGUUAUUUAUUUCUGAUGAUUCUUGAUCUUAUUUAGCCCAUUGGCUACUAAUUCCUCUGUCCCAAAUGAUGGCUGAUGCAUUUGCUUGCAAUAGGUUUGCACACUUGGUUGUUUAAAUAGACUGCUGAGUGAACUAAGAUCGAUCUCAAAAGUUUGCUUCAGGAAUUAUUGUUCUGUCACCAAACUGCGUCCUAUGGAUGAAGGUCCUCUGAGUUUUGGUCCAUUUUGAGGCCUUUGGAGUUUGUUUGCUGUCAUCUGGCAAUUUGAUCCUUAGUUGAAAGCUCAUUCUUUUCAUUUUGGUGAGGACCAUCUAGGCAGGUAUCAAAUUUUGAAAUGUCACGUGAGUAUUACUCACUUGUCCGCUAGUUCAUGUUCUCGCCAGGUGUGACAAGGAGUGGCCUCAUUUUCUCUGUUUACAAUAUAUACUCCUUUCGUUUCGGCCUUACGUGUGAUUUACUUGCUGUGCAUCCUGACUUCUCUCUCAAGCGUUAGCUAGGUUAUUGCUGUAGAGUGAUUGUAACAGUAGAGAGUUGUGAGGGAGAAUGAGUGAAAAUUGAUUUUUCAUUCAUGAAGUCAGGAUCUUCAUAGUGCAACUGGCCAACAGAUGGGAGCAACUUUUUUUUUUGUCACAUGGUUAGUAACAUUCCCCGUUGAUCAUGUGGCAUUGGUGCAUUAGUAUCAUCAACUAUUAUCUAUGAUGAUAAUAUAUCUUGUAUUGCACAAAUAUAAACAGAUUAUAUAACGAGUAAUAUUACAAAACAUAUUUCCCUAAAGUUAUUCUAUCCUCGUGAAUUAUAGAAAAUAGAGAGAGAAAUUAUGCAAACAAAAUCUUAUGAUAAUAUUGCAUAUUUAUUCAUAAAGUCUUUAUCAAAAUCAAUAUUCAAGAAAUAUGUACAUAGAAUUGGUAUGCGUACUUUGAAAUUUGUAAGGUUCAAGGAUAGUAAACCCUGAUAUGUAUGACCUGCUAAUGAUCCUCAAGUCAUAAAUAUUACAUUUUUUUGAGUUUUUCCAAUAUGUUAAUUCAUAUAGGUUUUUAGCAAGAUAAUAUUAAUACAAGUAUAUAUGUUAUAUCAUUUUUCUUCUAAUUUUUCUCAAUAGGUAUUUAAGGAGAUUUUGAUACCAGGGUAUUUAAAGGAGUCUUCAACAUGAUGUAUAUAGAAGAUGAUUUUGAUUGAAGGGAAGUGUUACGAACCACACGAUCAAAGAAACCGACAAUUACGGUUUCUCAUGUCUCCUAGUGGAUGGGACACUCAUUGAGCAUGUAUAAAUAUACAUUAAGAUCAUGAAUGAAACUAUUGAUUCCACUCA